ACGAACGCUGGCGGCGUGCUUAACACAUGCAAGUCGAACGGGCCCGCUCUCUUUUUUGGGGGUGGGUUGAGUGGCGAACGGGUGAGUAUCACGUGAGUAACCUGCCCCCUGCUCCUGGAUAACUGCUUGAAAGGGCGGCUAAUACGGGGUGUGCCGGCUGGUCCGCAUGGGCCUGGUCGGGAUAGUUUCAUCUUCGGGUGUUUCGGUGGGGGAUGGGCUCGCGGCCUAUCAGCUUGUUGGUGGGGUGAUGGCCCACCAAGGCGGUGACGGGUAGCCGGCCUGAGAGGGUGGGCGGCCACACUGGGACUGAGACACGGCCCAGACUACUGCGGGAGGCAGCAGUGGGGGGUAUUGCACAAUGGGCGGAAGCCUGAUGCAGCGACGUCGCGUGAGGGAUGGAGGCCUUCGGGUUGUGAACCUCUUUCUCCGGUGGUGAAGGCCCUGUCCGUUGCGGCGGGGUUGACGGUAGCCGGGUAUGAAGCGCCGGCUAACUACGUG
rnacentral:rRNA from 1 species